rnacentral:misc_RNA from 1 species
UUUCCGUGGGUGAACCUGCGGAAGGAUCAUUAUUGUAUAACCGAGGUGCGAGGGCUGUCGCUGACCCGAAAGGUCGUGCACGCCCGAGUUUCCUCACACACAUCCAUCUCACCCCUAUGUGAACCUCCGCGUGGAUCCCCCCGAGGCUUCUUCGGAGGGGGGCUUACGUCUUAACACAUACUUUGUAUGCAGUGUAGAAUAUAUUAUAUGUUUUUGCGAUCACGCAACUAAUACAACUAUCAACAACGGAUCUCUUGGCUCUC